rnacentral:lncRNA from 1 species
UGGUCGAAAUCCCCAGUCAACUCGUCGAGACCCAGUUAAAACAAGUAAAUAGCUUUACAUAUUACUGGUGCGUCGUUUACAGAACGACUCGGCCAGCGAUUACCUGGGGAUUACCGGCGGUUGGUCCACAUUACUUGGACUGUGUUUGGCCAGUCUUCACGUGUCACACAUAAUAUCGUGGGAUAGAUCAAGUAACCAUGCACUAAAAAUCGCUGCGCGCGUCGGCAGUCGGGACCGAGUCGCUUUGUCGGCAUGCUGGGCCAGGACCUGUCAGUGACGAGGCUCGUCCGCAACGCAAGCCACCAUGACACCGCUUCUUGACUGGGGGGUAGCGGAUCCAGGUGCCGGGUGUACAGGGAUAGUGAGGGAGGUUCGGCUAGCAGCACGCAAUGUGCAUACGGUAGUGUCAGGUACCGUAGUAACGAAGUGUCCCGUGAACCCGAACAGGUUGUAUGUACAGGAGAGCAUUCAUGUACAAUAGUUUGCGACGAUGCACCCUUGAACAGGCGCCCGGACACGUGGAGGUGUGUGUGGGUGGAGAGGGUCGCUGGCUCCAUGGACCUGCAUGGACUGGGCUGGAGGCUGAGCUGUAAAGGAUGUCCGGAUAUGGCCACGCUUCCGUGUCUGUUCCGUGCUUGCUUUGGAAAUGUCUACAGCUGAGAACCAGAUCAUUGGCCCUGUGCGUCCGGACGCUAAGGGACGUCGGGGCGUGCCGUGGGGGAACUCGAAAGGCCUGCUGUGACGGCCUUCAAUAUGUCGUAUUGAUGGAAUUUUACAGACACCGCAAUGAUAUUGCAACUAGCAACUUGAUGGCGUUUAGAGGAUGGACACCUGAGGAGUGACCACCCGAUGACGAACGCGUCGGCACCGGUCGGCAAUGGGACAAAAGGCCCGUUCUAGACCGCUCGCUUACUACAUCAACACCGCACCCGCACAACCACCACUAAGAGCAUACGCGCUAACUAGCUUUCACUAACUUACUCGCUUGCUCAACCUAAUCCAACCUGAUUCGUUCAGGCCUCGCUCCCCAGGCGCAAUGGUACUGUGAUUGAUCAUCUGCCUCGUCGAGAACGUCGCACGAGGUGUCACAAACAUGUUCCGCUCAUGCGGCGGCGACAAGAAGCCUGUGGAAGGACCUGUGUUUGGCUAUUCAUGCGCCUACGCGCCACCAAAACAAAAACAGGCGCAGCCAUACAACGCUAACAAGACUGGCUAUAUUGACUACAGCUCGCAGAAGCAGUAGCCAGCGGGCGUACACGCGUGUGUGACCAAGGUGCGCAGUGGUGCUGCACAGGGGUGCUGCAGGCAGGUGACUGGGCGUGGACGGUCUGUUCGGUACGGUCCGGGGUCGCUUACCCUGGGGCUUGCUGUGCAUGACGAGUGGUCCUCAAAUUGAUGUUGACAAACCCCACGCCUUCUGGCUUCGUGCAUGCAACGCAGGUCAACAACCUCUAUCCCAGCGCUCUACACCCAUGACUCCGGAGUUCUUUCCCCGCCACCUUAAUCGGAUGCUGCUGGCGAGUUCUGGAUGAUAACAACAGCGAAGAUGAGUGUUGAAGGCAUAUGGUCGUUUGGCACGCCUGGGACAAGGCCCUGGCAGCUGGCGUCAAAGGUGCAGGUGUACGAUACCGAUGCGAGAGAGGAGCUACUACGCAUGUUAAUAUAUUCAUCGGUUUUGAUGUGAUGCCGAAUCGCCUGAACAGAUAUGAUUGCAGAAUGUGAGUGUGACAAUGCCCAAGUGCUAGGCGGAUCAUCACAUGAGCGCUCCCUAAGCCGCCACACAUAGGGGUGCGUGAUGAGGGCCAUGCACCGCUUGUAAAGCGCGCAGCGUUGCUGUGCGUGGUGCAGGAUGCGCAUGUGCAUGUAACAGCAGGCAACGCUCGGGUCGGUUGCCGAUUGUAUGGUUCUACGCCGUGGGUGUAUGGUGUGGCAUGUUACCAUGCUGCAGCAACCCUGUGCCACAGCCAGCCGUCAGCCACGCAGGGAUGCGCUCUGGGCGUAGGCCCAGCCAGCGCUCAGCCCAGCCGUGCAUGGCAGUGCUGAGCUCCUGUUCAGGGGCGCGAUACGGUAUGCGCUCCGUGCUCCUUACUUGUACCCAUGUUCGGCGUGCCUGAACCUGUUGGCUCUCUCUCCCGCAGCUUAGUAUCC